CCUACGGAGUGCAGCAGUGGGGGAUAUUGCACAAUGGGGGGAACCCUGAUGCAGCGACGCCGCGUGGGUGAAGGAGUGCUUCGGCAUGUAAAGCCCUAUCGGCAGGGAAGAAGCAAGACGGUACCUGACUAAGAAGCCCCGGCUAACUACGUGCCAGCAGCCGCGGUAAUACGUAGGGGGCGAGCGUUAUCCGGAUUCACUGGGUGUAAAGGGAGCGUAGACGGCCAUGCAAGCCAGGGGUGAAAGCCCGGGGCCCAACCCCGGGACUGCCCUUGGAACUGCAUGGCUGGAGGGCGGGAGGGGCAGGCGGAAUUCCUGGUGUAGCGGUGAAAUGCGUAGAUAUCAGGAGGAACACCGGCGGCGAAGGCGGCCUGCUGGACCGCGACUGACGUUGAGGCUCGAAAGCGUGGGGAGCGAACAGGAUUAGAUACCCCUGUAGUC
rnacentral:rRNA from 1 species